UACAGGGGGCGCGAGCGUUGCUCGGAAUCACUGGGCGUAAAGCGUACGCAGGCGGACCGUUAAGUCGGAUGUGAAAUCCCAGGGCUCAACCCUGGAAGUGCAUUCGAUACUGGCGGUCUCGAGUACGGGAGAGGAGAGUGGAAUUCCUGGUGUAGCGGUGAAAUGCGCAGAUAUCAGGAAGAACACCCGUGGCUAAGGCGGCUUCCUGGACCGGCAUUGACGCUGAGGAGCGAAAGCUAGGGGAGCAAACGGG
rnacentral:rRNA from 1 species